rnacentral:rRNA from 1 species
UACGUAGGCAGCAAGCGUUGUUCGGAGUUACUGGGCGUAAAGGGUGUGUAGGCGGCUUCGUAAGUUCGGUGUGAAAUCUCCCGGCUCAACUGGGAGGGUGCGCCGAAAACUGCAAGGCUGGAGUAUGGGAGAGGUAGGCGGAAUUCCUGGUGUAGCGGUGAAAUGCGUAGAUAUCAGGAGGAACACCUGUGGUGUAGACGGCUUACUGGACCAUGACUGACGCUGAGGCACGAAAGCGUGGGGAGCAAACAGG